UACGUAGGGACCAAGCGUUGUCCGGAAUCAUUGGGCGUAAAGAGCGUGUAGGCGGCUUGUUAAGUCUUGCGUGAAAUCUCGGGGCUCAACCCCGAGCGGUCGUGAGAAACUGGCAGGCUAGAGUGCGGGAGAGGAGAGUGGAAUUCCUGGUGUAGCGGUGAAAUGCGCAGAUAUCAGGAAGAACACCCGUGGCGAAGGCGGCUCUCGUGGAACGCAACUGACGCUGAGACGCGAAAGCGUGGGGAGCGAACAGG
rnacentral:rRNA from 1 species